UAGUAGCUGCGGGAGCUUUACACAUGCAAGUCGAACGGCAGCGCGAGAGAGCUUGCUCUCUUGGCGGCGAGUGGCGGACGGGUGAGUAAUAUAUCGGAACGUGCCCAGUAGCGGGGGAUAACUACUCGAAAGAGUGGCUAAUACCGCAUACGCCCUACGGGGGAAAGGGGGGGAUCGCAAGACCUCUCACUAUUGGAGCGGCCGAUAUCGGAUUAGCUAGUUGGUGGGGUAAAGGCUCACCAAGGCAACGAUCCGUAGCUGGUUUGAGAGGACGACCAGCCACACUGGGACUGAGACACGGCCCAGACUCCUACGGGAGGCAGCAGUGGGGAAUUUUGGACAAUGGGGGAAACCCUGAUCCAGCCAUCCCGCGUGUAUGAUGAAGGCCUUCGGGUUGUAAAGUACUUUUGGCAGAGAAGAAAAGGUAUCUCCUAAUACGAGAUACUGCUGACGGUAUCUGCAGAAUAAGCACCGGCUAACUACGUGCCAGCAGCCGCGGUAAUACGUAGGGUGCAAGCGUUAAUCGGAAUUACUGGGCGUAAAGCGUGUGUAGGCGGUUCGGAAAGAAAGAUGUGAAAUCCCAGGGCUCAACCUUGGAACUGCAUUUUUAACUGCCGAGCUAGAGUAUGUCAGAGGGGGGUAGAAUUCCACGUGUAGCAGUGAAAUGCGUAGAUAUGUGGAGGAAUACCGAUGGCGAAGGCAGCCCCCUGGGAUAAUACUGACGCUCAGACACGAAAGCGUGGGGAGCAAACAGGAUUAGAUACCCUGGUAGUCCACGCCCUAAACGAUGUCAACUAGCUGUUGGGGCCGUUAGGCCUUAGUAGCGCAGCUAACGCGUGAAGUUGACCGCCUGGGGAGUACGGUCGCAAGAUUAAAACUCAAAGGAAUUGACGGGGACCCGCACAAGCGGUGGAUGAUGUGGAUUAAUUCGAUGCAACGCGAAAAACCUUACCUACCCUUGACAUGUCUGGAAAGCCGAAGAGAUUUGGCCGUGCUCGCAAGAGAACCGGGACACA
rnacentral:rRNA from 1 species